AGUGAACGCCGGCGGUAGGCCUAACACAUGCAAGUCGAACGGCAGCACAGUAAGAGCUUGCUCUUACGGGUGGCGAGUGGCGGACGGGUGAGGAAUACAUCGGAAUCUACUUUUUCGUGGGGGAUAACGUAGGGAAACUUACGCUAAUACCGCAUACGACCUACGGCUGAAAGCAGGGAAUCUUCGGACCUUGCGCGAUUCAAUGAGCCGAUGUCGGAUUAGCUAUUUGGCGGGGUAAAGGCCCACCAAGUCGACGAUCCGUAGCUGGUCUGAGAGGAUGAUCAGCCCCACUGGAACUGAGACACGGUCCAGACUCCUACGGGAGGCAGCAGUGGGGAAUAUUGGACAAUGGGCGCAAGCCUGAUCCAGCCAUACCGCGUGGGUGAAGAAGGCCUUAGGGUUGUAAAGCCCUUUUGUUGGGAAAGACAAGCAGCAGGUUAAUACCCCGCUGUUCUGACGGUCCCCAAAGAAUAAGCACCGGCUAACUUCGUG
rnacentral:rRNA from 1 species